rnacentral:rRNA from 1 species
AUGGGGUGCCUUGUUAUGGUCACCAUACUGCAAGUGUGCUUGAUCAUCAGUGCCGCCGCCGCUGGCCCGCGCAAGAUGGCGAGGCUGGUGCCGGCGAUGUACGUGUUCGGGGACUCGACGCUGGACGUGGGCAACAACAACUACCUGCCGGGGCCGAACGUGCCCAGGGCCAACACGCCCCUCAACGGCGUCGACUUCCCCGGCGGCGCCCGGGCGACGGGGCGGUUCAGCAACGGCUACCACGUCGCCGACUUCAUCGCAAUAAAACUGGGACUGAAGGAGAGCCCGCCGGCGUACCUGUCGCUCGCGCCACGCCCCAGCGACCUGCUCCUCAGCGCUCUCGCCACAGGCGUGAGCUAUGCUUCUGCCGGAGCCGGCAUCCUGGACUCCACCAACGCGGGGAACAAUAUCCCGCUGUCGAAGCAGGUGCGGUACAUGGAGUCAACCAAGGCCGCCAUGGAGGCCAGGGUGGGCAAAGCCGCGGCGCGCCUCCUGCUCUCGAGGUCCUUCUUCCUCUUCAGCGUCGGCAGCAACGACAUCUCCGUGUUCGCGGCCGCGCCGGGCGACGUCGCCGCGCUGUAUGCCAGCCUCAUCUCCGGCUACUCCACCGCCAUCACGGACCUGUACGGCAUGGGCGCGAGGAAGUUCGGGAUCGUCAACGUGGGGCUGCUGGGCUGCGUGCCGGCGGCGCGGGCUCUCAGCGCGACGGGCGCGUGCAACGACGGGCUCAACCAGUUGUCGGCCGGCUUCAACGACAAGCUCAGGUCCCUCAUGGCCGGCCUCGCCGCCCGGCUGCCGGGCCUCGACUACUCCCUCGCCGACAACUACAACCUCUCACAAGUCACCUUCGCCAACCCAGCGGCAUCCGGGUACGUGAACAUAGACAGCGCGUGCUGCGGGAGCGGGAGGAUGGGGGCGGACAGCGACUGCCUGCCUAACUCCACGACGUGCGCCGACCACGACCGCUUCGUCUUCUGGGACCGGGGGCAUCCCUCGCAGCGCGCCGGAGAGCUCAGCGCCGCCGCAUACUUGGACGGAGCGGCCGGGUUCACCGCGCCCAUCAGCUUCGACCAGCUGGCCCGCAAAGAUUUAGCUAUCUAG